AUUGAACGCUGGCGGCAGGCCUAACACAUGCAAGUCGAGCGAGCGGCGGACGGGUGAGUAAUGUAUGGGGACUGCCCGAUAGAGGGGGAUAACUACUGGAAACGGUGGCUAAUACCGCAUACUAUCGGAUAACCCAUAUGGGAUUAGCUAGUAGGUGGGGUAAAGGCUCACCUAGGCGACGAUCUCUAGCUGGUCUGAGAGGAUGAUAAGCAACACUGGGACUGGAAAAGGGCCCAGACUCCUACGGGGGCAGCAGGGGGGAAUUUUGCACAAUGGGCGAAAGCCGGAGGCAGCCAUGCCGGGGGUAUGAAGAAGGCCUUAGGGUUUUAAAGUACUUUCGGCGGGGAGGCGUUACCCGCAGAAGAAGCACCGGCUAACUCCGUGCCAGCAGCCGCGGUAUAC
rnacentral:rRNA from 1 species